UGAAAUUGAAGUUUUGACGUCGAAAUCAAGCCUUGCCGGAUUCUGCAAAUUUCGCCGGAUUCUGGAAAUUUUCCGGCCACCUCGACUGUUUUAGGUGAUUGACGGUCUCCCUUGGGUGAGCGAUUUCGGUGUGUAUUGUGUUAAACUGAAGACGCAGCGGGAAUAUCGAGCGGGUAAUCCUACAGGUCAAGAGAAUCAGGACGGAGAUCGAGCUGCGUAGAGUAGCUGCAAUUGUGUCAAUCUGAAUUGCUUUGUGAGCCGGUGAGGUGUGUUAUGCUCAUUUAGAGCUUUACAAUAUUUCUUGUGAGAGUGAAUUGUAAUAAUGAACUCGAGGUUUCGAAAUUUGAAGUUUGUGUAUCGUGUGGUGAGGUUGUUUUGAGAAAAAAAUUCAGAACGUUUAUUUGAUUAAGUGGUUUAAUUCAUGUUUCGGAUUUGAACUUAUUAUUCAAAAUUCGGGGCGUGACAGUUUGGUAUCAGAGCGUAAGGUGCAUAUUCGGUGAUGUGUCAAUACUUUCCGAGUGAUGGCCCGUCUGCAGCGGAUCCCCAUCGUGUGCUCUUCGGUAUUGGCUAAGUCAUUGGGUAUGCGUGA